UACGUAGGGGGCAAGCGUUGUCCGGAAUCAUUGGGCGUAAAGCGCACGUAGGCGGCAUUGCAAGUCGGAUGUGAAAUCCCUCGGCUCAACCAAGGAAGUGCAUCCGAAACUGCAGUGCUUGAGUACUUAAGAGGAUCGCGGAAUUCCCGGUGUAGAGGUGAAAUUCGUAGAUAUCGGGAGGAACACCAGUGGCGAAGGCGGCGAUCUGGGAAGAUACUGACGCUGAGGUGCGAAAGCGUGGGGAGCAAACAGG
rnacentral:rRNA from 1 species